rnacentral:rRNA from 1 species
GAUGAACGCUGGCGGCGUGCCUAAUACAUGCAAGUCGAGCGAACGGACGAGAAGCUUGCUUCUCUGAUGUUAGCGGCGGACGGGUGAGUAACACGUGGAUAACCUACCUAUAAGACUGGGAUAACUUCGGGAAACCGUAGCUAAUACCGGAUAAUAUUUUGAACCGCAUGGUUCAAAAGUGAAAGACGGUCUUGCUGUCACUUAUAGAUGGACCGCGCUGCAUUAGCUAGUUGGUAAGGUAACGGCUUACCAAGGCAACGAUGCAUAGCCGACCUGAGAGGGUGAUCGGCCACACUGGAACUGAGACACGGUCCAGACUCCUACGGGAGGCAGCAGUAGGGAAUCUUCCGCAAUGGGCGAAAGCCUGACGGAGCAACGCCGCGUGAGUGAUGAAGGUCUUCGGAUCGUAAAACUCUGUUAUUAGGGAAGAACAUAUGUGUAAGUAACUGUGCACAUCUUGACGGUACCUAAUCAGAAAGCCACGGCUAACUACGUG